rnacentral:rRNA from 1 species
UACAGAGGUCUCAAGCGUUGUUCGGAUUCAUUGGGCGUAAAGGGCGCGUAGGCUGCGGGGUAAGUCGGGUGUGAAAUCUCAGGGCUCAACCCUGAAACUGCACUCGAUACUGCUCUGCUUGAGGACUGGAGAGGAGACUGGAAUUCACGGUGUAGCAGUGAAAUGCGCAGAUAUCAGGAAGAACACCCGUGGCGAAGGCGGCUCUCUGGAACGCAACUGACGCUGAGACGCGAAAGCGUGGGGAGCAAACAGG